UGGGGAAUUUUGGACAAUGGGCGCAAGCCUGAUCCAGCAAUGCCGCGUGCAGGAUGAAGGCCUUCGGGUUGUAAACUGCUUUUGUACGGAACGAAACGGUCUUUUCUAAUACAGAAGGCUAAUGACGGUACCGUAAGAAUAAGCACCGGCUAACUACGUGCCAGCAGCCGCGGUAAUACGUAGGGUGCGAGCGUUAAUCGGAAUUACUGGGCGUAAAGCGUGCGCAGGCGGUUUGCUAAGACCGAUGUGAAAUCCCCGGGCUCAACCUGGGAACUGCAUUGGUGACUGGCAGGCUAGAGUAUGGCAGAGGGGGGUAGAAUUCCACGUGUAGCAGUGAAAUGCGUAGAUAUGCGGAGGAACACCGAUGGCGAAGGCAAUCCCCUGGGCCUGCACUGACGCUCAUGCACGAAAGCGUGGGGAGCAAACA
rnacentral:rRNA from 1 species